CAGCCGCCGCGGUAAUACGUAGGGACCAAGCGUUGUUCGGAUUUACUGGGCGUAAAGGGCGCGUAGGCGGCAAUUCAAGUCAUCUGUGAAAUCUCCGGGCUUAACUCGGAACGGUCAGAUGAUACUGCUUUGCUAGAGUACAGAAGGGGCAAUCGGAAUUCUUGGUGUAGCGGUGAAAUGCGUAGGUAUCAAGAGGAACACCUGAGGUGAAGACGUGUUGCUGGGCUGAUACUGACGCUGAGGCGCGAAAGCGUGGGGAGCAAACAGGAUUAGAUACCCCUGUAGUCCCUGUCUCUUAUAC
rnacentral:rRNA from 1 species